AUUCACCGUUUGCUCCGGAAGGGAAACUACGCAGAG
ensembl:ncRNA sncRNA:430h small non-coding RNA 430h